UGUCUGCGGAAAGAAGAUGAACAAUUGAAAUAUUAAAUAGGGUUAGAUUGCAAGUGAGAGUAGCAGAGUUUGAGAGAGUGACCUGGAAGAUGUGUUGGUGUUUGCCAAGCCUAGCAGCUGUUCGGAAUUGCGGAACUGGAACAGCUCUUGACUUGAGGUAUCAGGUUCACCGGUUCUGUUAUUUUGGCGAAGGCGGUUAAGUCACUGAAACAUAUUGACAAAGGAGAGUUGGACAAUUUGAAGUUAAGGUUUCUCCGCGUCAACCAUUCACCGCGUACAUCGAACCAGUCUUGAAAAGGUGUUCGAAGGUAUUCAAACGGUGGACGUCGAUGGUGGCAUGCAUAAGAGGCGCUUGAAAACGUUUACAACAAAUGUUUGAUUGUAGCUUAAAUUAUAAAACUCACAAAUCUUCAAGAGAAAGGAAGGCAAUUGAUUUUUUUGUUCGCUGGAGUUACCUUAGUGGAGGAGCAUGUCAGCUCACCGCCUCUCUUUACAUUCCUCAGCCGGUGCUGGCGCUUGCGUAAGCGGCUCUGCCUCCUAGAAACUGAGUAGAUGAACUUCGAUUGUGGUACUACAGCUCCAGGCAGCAAGGAGGAGAAAGGAGUUAAUCAAUAUGCUAUGUGUAAUUUUCUAGUGCUAAGAUGAUUGGGAGAAUGGAAUGAUGAAGUUUAUGGAUUCAAGGCUGACCUAUUUAUAGCAGCAGGAUGAUACUUCAGCUCUUUCCUAGCCAUGUCAAAUCGUUGUUUCACCUCCCUCUGCAAUUUACAGAGAAAGCAUUCUAAGAGAUGGUUUAAAGGACAGCUAGUGGAACAGAAACAUCUUUUCAAACUGUAAUUCAUUCAUUCAUUCAUCAAAACAAAAAUAAAAGAACAAAUUUAGUAGUUUUGAAAUUUUAGAUGCAACUUUUGUUAAUGCAAGAAACAAGAGCUUGAUAUGUAAUUAUGUAUUUUAAAUGAGUAGCAAAUGAUUUUGUCCAUAAUUAUAUGUAUAUUAUCUAAUUUUGAGCAAUGUGCAUCCUUAAUAUAAAUAUUUUGAAUAAAAUGAGAGAAUUAAACUAGAAAUAUAGGGUUAAGUAUACUUAUGUUUGGUUAUCUUCGAAUAUUUAUUCGAAGAUAUAUUACCAGUUCGAGUUUGGAUAUUACCCAUUUGGGUUCAGAUAUCCGAUCUCUCCGAAUUCAAUAACCAUUCGGGUAUUUUGCUAUUUUGGUUCGGAUUUUUGGAUCGGAUUCAGAUACUGGUUCAGGUAUCAGAUAAAAUGUCCAACCCUAAUAAAUCGUAUAAAUAUGAAGUCUCAUUAAUAGAUAUUCAUAUUAAAUAUAUAGAUAUAUUAAUAUUAUUUGAAAUAAAUUGUAAACUAUAUAAAAUAUAAAAAUAUGUUAAUUUUAAAAUUUGAAAAUGAAACAUUAUUGAGAUCUUAAUAUUUUAAUUUUGAAAAUUUUAUUGAAAAAAUCUCACAUUAAAAGUUUUGUAAUUAACUGUUUUACUUUUUGUUACAGCAAAUAUACAAAUAUUAAAAAAUCAUAUGAGUAGGAAAUGUCAAUAAUAUAUAUUUAUAUUAAAAUAUACUAUGUAUCUAUGUUAAUAUCACGAAAGUUUAAUAUCUACCAUAUAAAGUAAAUAAAAUGAUUGUUUUGAUUUAUUUACCAAAAACGUGAUCGUAAAUUAACAAAAUGUAUUGUUUUUGCUUUAUGUCCUUACUCUAAUGUAUAUACUUUUAUGCAUACAAAUUAUAUUUUUAAAUAGGUGGUUUCUAAUAUCUUAUUUGAUCCUAACAAUCCCAUAAACACACUUCUUCGAAUCGGAGUCAAUUUUAAUAUUGGAAGCACCAUAUAUAUUAUUUCAUUCAGAUUAAAUAAUGUAGUCUUGAUUUUUAUUCCUAAAAAGCUUUUAAUGAAAUAUUAUGACAAGAUUACAAGUACUUCCUUUUGAAUUUGUCCGAGAGAUUUGAUCAUUUGUCUAAUAUUUGUUUCUCCUUAAUACCCUAUCUAGCUAUUAUAAUUAUAAGAAUGAAAGAUUUGAACUAUUUAUUAUAAAUUUUCUGGUUUAUCAUUAAAUAAAUCAAAUUAUUUUUUGUUUAUACAUAGUUUACAUAUACUAGAAUGGUAAAAUAUUAUAUAUAUAUAUAUUAUAUGUAUGCUCUUAAGUAAUUAAACCUCAAAAGCAUAUGCUAAGUUUGAUAAAAAAAAAUCAUAGGCUAAUAAAAUAAACAAUUUUUUUUGUUAUUUUAGAAUUAGAUGAUUUUUAGACUGAACUGGUGAAUAUAUUACUAGACAGACAUUCAUAUUUCGAGUAUGCACUUAUAUUCUAUAACAGUUUGAUAUAUUAGACUAGGGUCGGCCUGCCCUACUGGUGGGAUAUACUUUACUUGUGAUCUAGGUUAUUAUUUUUUGUAUAAUUUGCUGGUUUUCGUUUUAAAUUUUUAUUUGCAAGAGAUGUUUUUGAUAAUGAUUUUUGACUAUUAGAAAGUUUUAGGUGAAGAGAUCUUAUAUGUGAUGAGAUAUAUUUUUCUUGUUUACAAUAGUUAGUUUCGGUUGUCCAAAAAAAUAACUUUAUGAUACUAAAUAUUAGUUAAAUUUUUCUACUUAAUUAAAUUAUUUGAUUUAUAAUGUGUGUUGAAUUUGAUGGUAGUAUAGAAAAUGUCUUUUAUCUGUAAUUCAGUUAAAACAUCAGAAUAUUGAUUUUUUUAUUAAAAAAAUGAAAGAUGAAUUCAUUAUAUUUUUUAAAUGAAAUUUUUUUAUGUUUGUAUAAAAGUUAUAUAUAUAAUAGUUAUGUUAUUAUUAUUUUAUCGAAUUAAGUUAUAUUUUACAUAUGUCCAAUUCAAAACCAGUAAAAUUUUUUAAUUAUUGUGUCUAUUCAUUUGUCGGGUAUUUAUUUAUAUACUUUCUUCCAUAUAUAUUAUAUAUUUUUCAUUAUUUUGUGUCGAUAUAAUGAAUCUCCACUUUAUCGGUUAAAUAUUUGUAUUACCGAACAUUAUCGACUAAAGAAAGAACUUCGUUGAUUGUACAAUUUGUUAAGAAAAUAUAUUUCAAACUGAAGCGGACAUAUAAUGGAGUUCAAACCAAAACCAAAUUGUUUCGUGUUAAGAGCAUUUCCAAAAGCAAUUUCAAAACUUCAAAUAUGAAACUUUACAUGCUCUUAAAACAAUUUCAAAUUUUCAAAUUUUGAAAUUUGUAAUGUGAAACUUCAUAUUUGAAGUUCUAAUGUACAAAACUUCAUAUUAUUUAGUUUGGAAAAGCUAUGAAUGAGAAGGUUGGAAAAUCUAAAUAAGCUUUACAGUUGGUGUAGAUUUUAUUAUGUCGUGUAAAUUAGUAAUUCCAUCCGAAUUGCAGCAUUUCUUUGCCAUGUAAGGUAUGUAAUGUCAGUUAGUGUAUGAUAAUCUGAGCAACCUAGACCAGAGCAAAACUGUUAAGGGUAAUGUAUCCGGCGCGUAAUUGGCCACAAUUUUUGUUUGUUGUACUGUUAAUACUCAUGUAUAAAACGAAGACUGGGUGAUUCAUUGAUAAUUAGACAAAUGCGAUUAGGAAAUCAAAAUUUGAUUGCCCUUAUAGUUGUAAAAAACAGUAAUAACAAACAGGCUUGAUCAUUAUUCUAGUAGCUACCUUGUCGACAAAUAUUACGGAUAACAUAUAAGUUGUAAUAUUCGUCAAUGAGAUUUGCUUGUAGCACCAUUAUUUCCUCAUUGAUAUAUGGGUAAAUAUGAGGAAAUCCAAAUACAAUAGUCUUUAUAGUUUAAGGGUAACUAUCAACAGCAGAUGAAGUUUUACAAAAAACAAAAAAACUAAAAACUAUGCUUAAGCAAUAUUUUAGUAGCUGCUUCUGUGAGUCUGUGAUUAAGAAACUGCAUCCUCCUCCAACUAUGCAAUGUGUGCCUUCUUAUUUUCCUUGGAAGACGUAGAGAACAGAGAGUUUGUGGCUGACAGACCACCUUAGAUUGUUUCAAUAGCUGGAUCUUUCUCAUUGUCAUCACCAUGACAUUGAUCAUGGCUGGAAGGUGCUAACUCCGGGCACAUCAUCUCCAGGGCCGCCAUUUACUUAUUGUGAUCACAUGAAAAAAUAUUCUCAUUUUAAUGCACGGCAAAAAAAAAUUACAAAAGAGAAAGUCAAUUGUGUGAAAUUGUAAAAGAGGAAGCAACUCCUACAAUCUUUUUUUCUUUCUCGUUACAACAAUAACUUUAAGGUCAACAUGUAAGUCUGACGAUUGUUUAUGAAAGGCAGCAGCUCAAGGAAAUAGAUACAUCAUUGCGAAUUUUAGACAAACUACGUGAUGUUAACAUGUUUUGGUAGUUCUACUUGAUUUAUGAUACCGUAGAGUUCUUUAUAAGCAAAGUUAAGAAAAACGUACAGAUUCUUUGCCUUGUAAGGAGUCAUCAACAGUAUCCCUAAUAGCGGUUAAUUCACCUAUAGUGUCUGCGGAAAGAAGAUGAACAAUUGAAAUAUUAAAUAGGGUUAGAUUGCAAGUGAGAGUAGCAGAGUUUGAGAGAGUGACCUGGAAGAUGUGUUGGUGUUUGCCAAGCCUAGCAGCUGUUCGGAAUUGCGGAACUGGAACAGCUCUUGACUUGAGGUAUCAGGUUCACCGGUUCUGUUAUUUUGGCGAAGGCGGUUAAGUCACUGAAACAUAUUGACAAAGGAGAGUUGGACAAUUUGAAGUUAAGGUUUCUCCGCGUCAACCGUUCACCGCGUACAUCGAACCAGUCUUGAAAAGGUGUUCGAAGGUAUUCAAACGGUGGACGUCGAUG
rnacentral:lncRNA from 1 species